CAGAAUUUCAAUCGCAGAUAAUUGUAACAACAAAAAUAAUAAUAAUUAUCUCUGUAAUCAAAAAAAUAACAUAGGUACUUAUUGGGUAAGUAUCUUAUCCGUUGAUGUAUUAGGUAUAUUAUAAAAUCGAUGUCAUAUUUAUAAAUUGUACCUACCUUAUAGGUAGUAGGGUCGCAACCCCUCCGGGUUUCAUCCGGAUAUUCCGGUUUUACUUAUAAAUAAGUCUACGGGUUUUGUGAAUUAUUCUCCGG